rnacentral:rRNA from 1 species
UAAGUAUAACCUGCCAGACAGGGAACUGCGUACGGCUCAUUACACCAGCCUUAAUUUACUUGACCUUGACAACCUACUUGGAUAACUGUGGUAAUUCUAGAGCUAAUACAUGCACCAAAGCUCCGAUCCUCGCGGAGAGGAGCGCAUUUGUUCGCCACAAAACCAAGCGCCCAUCUGGGCGUCCAGUGCUGAACCAGAACAACUCAGCUGAUCGCACGGUCUUGUACCGGCGACGUGUCUUUCAAGUGUCUGCCUUAUCAACUUUCGAUGGUAGUGUACCUGACUACCAUGGUUGUGACGGGUAACGGAGGAUAAGGGUUCGACUCCGGAGAAGGGGCCUGAGAAAUGGCCACUACGUCUAAGGAUGGCAGCAGGCGCGCAAAUUACCCACUCUCAACGCGAGGAGGUAGUGACGAGAAAUAACGAGACCGUUCUCAUACGAGGCCGGUUAUUGGAAUGGGUACAAUUUACA